CCUACGGGAGGCAGCAGUGAGGAAUAUUGGUCAAUGGGCUUACGCCUGAACCAGCCAAGUCGCGUGAGGGAAGACUGCCCUAUGGGUUGUAAACCUCUUUUGUCAGGGAGCAACGCCGGCUACGUGUAGCCGGACUGAGAGUACCUGAAGAAAAAGCAUCGGCUAACUCCGUGCCAGCAGCCGCGGUAAUACGGAGGAUGCGAGCGUUAUCCGGAUUUAUGGGGUUAAAAGGGUGCGUAGGCGGAAUGCCAAGUCAGCGGUAAAAUCGCGGGGCUCAACCUCGCUCCGCCGUUGAAACUGGCGUUCUUGAGUGGGCGAGAAGUAUGCGGAAUGCGUGGGGUAGCGGUGAAAUGCAUAGAUAUCACGCAGAACUCCGAUUGCGAAGGCAGCAUACCGGCGCCCAACUGACGCUGAAGCACGAAAGCGUGGGUAUCGAACAGGAUUAGAUACCCUAGUAGUC
rnacentral:rRNA from 1 species